AACGAACGCUGGCGGCAGGCCUCAAACAUGCAAGUCUAGGGGGUGUAGCAAUACAUCACCGGCGGACGGGUGCGUAACGCGUGGGAAUAUACCUAUCGAUUCGGAACAACUGAGGGAAACUUCAGCUAAUACCGAAUACGUCCUAACGGAGAAAGAUUUAUCGUCGAUAGAUUAGCCCGCGUUCGAUUAGCUAGUUGGUGGGGUAACGGCCCACCAAGGCGACGAUCGAUAGCUGUUCUGAGAGGAAGAUCAGCCACACUGGGACUGAGACACGGCCCAGACUCCUACGGGAGGCAGCAGUUGGGAAUCUUGGACAAUGGGGGAAACCCUGAUCCAGCCAUGCCGCGUGAGUGAUGAAGGCCUUCGGGUUGUAAAACUCUUUCGCGCACGACGAUAAUGACGGUAGUGCGAGAAGAAGCUCCGGCUAACUUCGUGCCAGCAGCCGCGGUAA
rnacentral:rRNA from 1 species